AAUUAUCGACAUAUCAAAAUUAAUGUAACAACUCAACAUUUAUAUCAAAAUUAUUAUGCUAAUUACAAAAUUAAGAUUCAAUUAGCAAACAAGUAAAAUUCUAAUUAGUAACCACAUAAAUCCAAUUAACAAAACACUAAACCAAUUAAUCACUCAGUUUGGACCCAAACUGAAUUCUAAGCCCAAACAGAGGGGGUGCAGACUCUGAGAGAGGUGGUAUACAGGUCCAGGAAAAUGCAUGGGCCUGAAGGCCCAAUGUACAAGGUACACGGGAUAUCUCCCUCACAAGUCUCUCCGCUCACGUGUUCUCCCUCUCUUCUUUCAUACGCCUGAACUCCAUGCUUGCCUCCGCACCGGACAUCGUCGGCGGUGACGGUGGAGCGUCACCUAACCACCGACAAACUCGCCUCUCCCUCACUUCAGUUCCGUUUCCAAUCCCUUCCUCAACCUAAACCGAAAGCCUCUACCUAAACAUAACAGAUUUUAAGGUGACACGACGAGGGAGCAAAACCGAACAAUGAAUACAAAAGGAAUGAGGUUUGAUUCCGAUUCACAACAUCAUGAACGAACCAAACAACACAUAGAGAAGAAAACCCUACCGCAACGGCGAAGGCGGCGGCGAGUUCGAACGGCGUCGAUUUCGAAUCCAAAUGCUCCGCUUCUCGUUCAAUCUCCUCCCUUUCGAUUCACGAUCGAUUUCGGUUAUGAAUGCGGUUAUUGAAGCGCGACGACGGUGACUGAAGAUUGGUUAAAGCGGUGUUGAUGAAGCAUGAUGGUGAUGUACGCGAUUGCGAUGUAUGUGAUUCUGGAGAGAAAAAAGGGAAGAGCCACGUCUCAAUGCCAAUCCAUGCUUUAUAUAGAGUUCUGCUGCGCAAUGGAUGUAAGUUUUUGAGUUCGCGCUUUGAUCGUUUUGAUUUGUUAGCUCUGCAGUUAAGCUGCGUUUUGAUGCUUAUGUUUUGUGUGUUAGGCUGCGUUAGCUUGUUGUCGUUUAUGUCAUUCACCUGCAUUUUGGAUUGUUGUGUACUUUGCGUUCUUGCUGCAGCAGUUACCGUUCUCUCAAUUGGUUGUGUUUUGCAAUUUCAAUUGCCGCUUUGGAUUAAGCUGCAGAUGAUGUAGCUUGUGUGUCGUUUCCAUUGUUCACGCGUUAUAGUCGUCUCGGGUUGUUGCGCUUUGCUCGCGGCUGGCGUGGCUAGUGGCUUGCAUUUUCGGUAGCAGCUUUUUGAGCUGUGUGUGUAGCUUUUGUUUUUGGCUUGGCGUGGUACUGUUCUCGUUGGCGUUGUAUUGGCUGCGUUUGAAAUUGAUUUUACUGCUUAUACUUUGGUGCAGGAUAUCAGUUAAAAGUAGAAACAUUACAAAACUGGAUUAGCAAAUUAGUUAUGGAUA
rnacentral:lncRNA from 1 species